rnacentral:rRNA from 1 species
AUUGAACGCUGGCGGCAGGCCUAACACAUGCAAGUUGAACGCGUGGCGGACGGGUGAGUAAUGUCUGGGAAACUGCCUGCUGGCGGGGGAUAACUACUGGAAACGGUAGCUAUUACCGCAUACCAUCAGAUGUGUCCAGGUGGGAUUAGCUUGUUGGUGGGGUAACGGCUCACCACGGCGCCGAUCCCUAGCUGGUCUGAGAGGAUUAUCAGCCACACUGGAACUGAGACACGGUCCAGACUCCUACGGUAGGCAGCAGUGGGGAAUAUUGCACAAUGGGGGAAAGCCUGAUGCAGCCAUGCCGCGUGUGUGAAGAAGGCCUUCGGGUUGUAAAGUACUUUCAGCGGGGAGGCGUUACCCGCAGAAGAAGCACCGGCUAACUCCGUGCCAGCCGCCGCGGUAAUUC